rnacentral:rRNA from 1 species
GACGAACGCUGGCGGCGUGCCUAAUACAUGCAAGUCGAGCGGACGGAUGGGAGCUUGCUCCCAGACCGUCAGCGGCGGACGGGUGAGUAACACGUGGGCAACCUGCCUGUAAGACUGGGAUAACUCCGGGAAACCGGGGCUAAUACCGGAUAACUCUUUCCCUCACAUGAGGGAAAGCUGAAAGAUGGCAUCUCGCUAUCACUUCCAGAUGGGCCCGCGGCGCAUUAGCUAGUUGGUGAGGUAACGGCUCACCAAGGCGACGAUGCGUAGCCGACCUGAGAGGGUGAUCGGCCACACUGGGACUGAGACACGGCCCAGACUCCUACGGGAGGCAGCAGUAGGGAAUCUUCCGCAAUGGACGAAAGUCUGACGGAGCAACGCCGCGUGAGUGAUGAAGGUUUUCGGAUCGUAAAACUCUGUUGUCAGGGAAGAACAAGUACCGGAGUAACUGCCGGUACCUUGACGGUACCUGACCAGAAAGCCACGGCUAACUACGUG